rnacentral:lncRNA from 1 species
AAGUGAUUCCUCUGAGGACACUCCCCAUGCGUGUCUGAUGGCUCCAUACAAGUCAAAAGAAGACUCCUGAGGAGUGCUUGUCAUGUCUACACACCAGACAGGAAGAAGACAAGCUUCCCUCCAGCUGUGAGAGGGGUCUCUCGAGAGGCGUGGUCUCAGGUGGAGGAGGAGUUCCCAUGGAUCUGAGGCGCUCACUCCGGCUUCAUCUGCUCCUCACCAAUUACAGUUACAAAGACACUCCUCCUGAGGAAGACCACAUUUCCCAAGUAUCUGGAGUCAACAUUCAGACCACGGUUUGCUGAAGACAAGGAAAUGAAUGCCAAAUGUUCAAUGACCUCACUGAGCUCUUCUGAAGGGCCCUGGCUCACCUGCGGGGCCCUGGCUACCAGCAAUGUCUGGGCUUCUUUAUAGUAGUCCUGGUUAGACCCCUGCUGUCUCUGGUCCCUCUCCACAACCACUGCUUCUCUGUGACACUGGAGUGGUAAGUUUAGCUUACCCAGCUAACACAACUCAGAUCAACAAUAUGGCGUGGACAUAAACCC